UACGUAGGGGGCAAGCGUUAUCCGGAUUUACUGGGUGUAAAGGGAGCGUAGACGGUCCUGCAAGCCAGAUGUGAAAGCCCGGGGCUCAACCCCGGGACUGCAUUUGGAACUGUAAGGCUAGAGUGUCGGAGAGGCAGGCGGAAUUCCUAGUGUAGCGGUGAAAUGCGUAGAUAUUAGGAGGAACACCAGUGGCGAAGGCGGCCUGCUGGACGAUGACUCACGUUGAGGCUCGAAAGCGUGGGGAGCAAACAGG
rnacentral:rRNA from 1 species